rnacentral:rRNA from 1 species
GAUGAACGCUGGCGGCGUGCCUAAUACAUGCAAGUCGAGCGAACAGACGAGGAGCCUGCUCCUCUGACGUUAGCGGCGGACGGGUGAGUAACACGUGGAUAACCUACCUAUAAGACUGGGAUAACUUCGGGAAACCGGAGCUAAUACCGGAUAAUAUAUUGAACCGCAUGGUUCAAUAGUGAAAGACGGUUUUGCUGUCACUUAUAGAUGGAUCCGCGCCGCAUUAGCUAGUUGGUAAGGUAACGGCUUACCAAGGCGACGAUGCGUAGCCGACCUGAAAGGGUGAUCGGCCACACUGGAACUGAGACACGGUCCAGACUCCGACGGGAGGCAGCAGUAGGGAAUCUUCCGCAAUGGGCGAAAGCCUGACGGAGCAACGCCGCGUGAGUGAUGAAGGUCUUCGGAUCGUAAAACUCUGUUAUUAGGGAAGAACAAAUGUGUAAGUAACUAUGCACGUCUGGACGGUACCUAAUCAGAAAGCCACGGCUAACUACGU